UCAAGUGAAGAAGCGCAUACGGUGGAUGCCUUGGCAGUCAGAGGCGAUGAAAGACGUGGUAGCCUGCGAAAAGCUUCGGGGAGUCGGCAAACAGACUUUGAUCCGGAGAUCUCUGAAUGGGGGAACCCACCUAGGAUAACCUAGGUAUCUUGUACUGAAUCCAUAGGUGCAAGAGGCGAACCAGGGGAACUGAAACAUCUAAGUACCCUGAGGAAAAGAAAUCAACCGAGAUUCCCUUAGUAGUGGCGAGCGAACGGGGAUUAGCCCUUAAGCUUCAUUGAUUUUAGCGGAACGCUCUGGAAAGUGCGGCCAUAGUGGGUGAUAGCCCCGUACGCGAAAGGAUCUUUGAAGUGAAAUCGAGUAGGACGGAGCACGAGAAACUUUGUCUGAACAUGGGGGGACCAUCCUCCAAGGCUAAAUACUACUGACUGACCGAUAGUGAACCAGUACCGUGAGGGAAAGGCGAAAAGAACCCCGGAGAGGGGAGUGAAAUAGAACCUGAAACCGUAUGCGUACAAGCAGUGGGAGCCUACUUGUUAGGUGACUGCGUACCUUUUGUAUAAUGGGUCAGCGACUUAUAUUCAGUGGCAAGCUUAACCGUAUAGGGUAGGCGUAGCGAAAGCGAGUCUUAAUAGGGCGUUUAGUCGCUGGGUAUAGACCCGAAACCGGGCGAUCUAUCCAUGAGCAGGUUGAAGGUUAGGUAACACUGACUGGAGGACCGAACCCACUCCCGUUGAAAAGGUAGGGGAUGACUUGUGGAUCGGAGUGAAAGGCUAAUCAAGCUCGGAGAUAGCUGGUUCUCCUCGAAAGCUAUUUAGGUAGCGCCUCAUGUAUCACUCUGGGGGGUAGAGCACUGUUUCGGCUAGGGGGUCAUCCCGACUUACCAAACCGAUGCAAACUCCGAAUACCCAGAAGUGCCGAGCAUGGGAGACACACGGCGGGUGCUAACGUCCGUCGUGAAAAGGGAAACAACCCAGACCGCCAGCUAAGGUCCCAAAGUUGUGGUUAAGUGGUAAACGAUGUGGGAAGGCUUAGACAGCUAGGAGGUUGGCUUAGAAGCAGCCAUCCUUUAAAGAAAGCGUAAUAGCUCACUAGUCGAGUCGGCCUGCGCGGAAGAUGUAACGGGGCUCAAACCACACACCGAAGCUGCGGGUGUCACGUAAGUGACGCGGUAGAGGAGCGUUCUGUAAGCCUGUGAAGGUGAGUUGAGAAGCUUGCUGGAGGUAUCAGAAGUGCGAAUGCUGACAUGAGUAACGACAAUGGGUGUGAAAAACACCCACGCCGAAAGACCAAGGGUUCCUGCGCAACGUUAAUCGACGCAGGGUUAGUCGGUUCCUAAGGCGAGGCUGAAAAGCGUAGUCGAUGGGAAACAGGUUAAUAUUCCUGUACUUCUGGUUACUGCGAUGGAGGGACGGAGAAGGCUAGGCCAGCUUGGCGUUGGUUGUCCAAGUUUAAGGUGGUAGGCUGAAAUCUUAGGUAAAUCCGGGGUUUCAAGGCCGAGAGCUGAUGACGAGUCGUCUUUUAGAUGACGAAGUGGUUGAUGCCAUGCUUCCAAGAAAAGCUUCUAAGCUUCAGGUAACCAGGAACCGUACCCCAAACCGACACAGGUGGUCGGGUAGAGAAUACCAAGGCGCUUGAGAGAACUCGGGUGAAGGAACUAGGCAAAAUGGCACCGUAACUUCGGGAGAAGGUGCGCCGGCUAGGGUGAAGGAUUUACUCCGUAAGCUCUGGCUGGUCGAAGAUACCAGGCCGCUGCGACUGUUUAUUAAAAACACAGCACUCUGCAAACACGAAAGUGGACGUAUAGGGUGUGACGCCUGCCCGGUGCCGGAAGGUUAAUUGAUGGGGUUAGCGCAAGCGAAGCUCUUGAUCGAAGCCCCGGUAAACGGCGGCCGUAACUAUAACGGUCCUAAGGUAGCGAAAUUCCUUGUCGGGUAAGUUCCGACCUGCACGAAUGGCGUAACGAUGGCGGCGCUGUCUCCACCCGAGACUCAGUGAAAUUGAAAUCGCUGUGAAGAUGCAGUGUAUCCGCGGCUAGACGGAAAGACCCCGUGAACCUUUACUGUAGCUUUGCACUGGACUUUGAGCCUGCUUGUGUAGGAUAGGUGGGAGGCUUUGAAGCGUGGACGCCAGUUCGCGUGGAGCCAUCCUUGAAAUACCACCCUGGCAUGCUUGAGGUUCUAACUCUGGUCCGUGAUCCGGAUCGAGGACAGUGUAUGGUGGGCAGUUUGACUGGGGCGGUCUCCUCCUAAAGAGUAACGGAGGAG
rnacentral:rRNA from 1 species